rnacentral:lncRNA from 1 species
CCUCCAUUAAUUUUUCUCUCUUUAGAGUGUCUAAGAGAUCAAAAGAAGAAGAAGAUCAGCCUUCAAAGAUCCUUACGAGCUAGCACUUUCGAGAAGCCUGAUUAGCAUCCGUUCUUCGUGUGGACGAUCUGUAGAGACCGAACAUCUUUGUGCGGCUGUGAGCAACUUGAAGAAACUCCUAUCCAUAUGAUACAUUUGCAGAGAUUAGU